CUGUGUUUAGUUGUCGUUGUAUCUCUGUCAGCAUCCUGGUUUCUUGUACCUGUGAUAUGUGGGAAAAUGAGAACUUGUUUUCGGCUCAGUCAUGCAGUUGCUACUGUACCGUCUGACACGCUGUGGACGGGAGCUGACAGGAAUCGGCUGGGGGUUAAAUAGUUCCUCCCCUCAUCUGUCGCCUCCUCUUAGCCUCAGCUCCCCCCGGGAACGCUACCAGCGACGAUUAAUCGAGUUUGUCUCCCUCUCAGCCUCUGCUGUCACAGGAAUUACAUUCAGCAGACUGCACAACUGCAGGCCUCAUCUCUGCACUGCGUAAUUCACACACUCGUGAACACUGAAACUCGUAUAAUUUAUUUUUUUACAACAAUGCCAUUCUCAUUCAGCUCUGGGAAUCCCCACUGAAAGCAAAUACAGUUAUAAUCGAGCAGGUGAGGUGAAACUAAUCAUGCAGUGCGGCCCAUGGGACGAGCCGAACAGGAUUACAUCAGACUGAAGCGUGGCACGUCUCAGGGCGCAGUCUAGUUUAUGUAACAUCAUGAAAUAAAAGAACAGGUCAUCGUUGGAUGAGACACUGACUGACUGACCGCCUGUUUGACUGAUUCACUCUGAUUAAUGUAAUGAUUCAUCAUCUGACAGGCUGAUUAGAUCAGCGGCUCCUGAAGUAGGUUCAAGGGCCUCUGAGGGCCCUCUGGAGGACCCUCAGAGGCCUUCCUGGAGUUUAAUUUCACUUUAAUUAAAUCCACUUCAAAUAAUCCUAUUAACAGAAUGCAUAAUGACUUCAAUAAUCACAGGUGUCAUUCUUACUGAGGAGCUCUGAUUACAUCCAUAAGAUGGUCUGUAGAUGUGGAGUUUAAGCGAUUCUCCACCCAAAAUGUUUGUAAUGGGAGUAUGAAACAUUUAGGCUUGAAAUGUGACUGGAAAAUGUUUAAAUAUAUAUUUUUUUUUUAAUGAAAAAGAAAUGCUGUUGUGAGCUUUUUUUUUAAUGCCAUUUGCAAUGAAUUCCAGUUGUGAUGAAUUUUUAAAAUGAAAAAUCUCAAACUUGUCAAACCAGCAUAAUCUACUUUUCUGAUCCCAUUCACAUCCUGAGAUGAAGGUGCACUUUUUUGUGACAGAGCAAAAGCGUUGAAACCAGUCAUCUUUUGUAGAGAUGCAGUAUGGAUCACCUGUCUGAGCGUUGUCAUUGUGACUUAUGUUUCACUUCACUUAAUGUUACUGUAGUUUUUGUUACUGCAUGGUACAUUAGCACUGUGUUUAAAACACAGUCUCUUAAGUCAUUUCAAUGAGACAUCUAGAAAAUGUUCUGGCACAAAGGCACAGAGUGGUCUGGCCCGAAAGUUGAAAGUGGCUCAAUGUAUAUGGAACAAUGCAUCAUCCAGCAAAUGGGAUAUAAUUAUUGUCUCCAUGGUAACGUUAUAAAUUCCUGUCUCUCAGUAUUAUAAACUGCUGCGCAGCGUUUUGUGUCUGAUACACCUUCAAACUCAUGGAUCUGUUACUGGUAACUGGACUUCCUGGAAUGAUUUAGUUGUCUCUCUGGAACCUGAAACAACAUGCCAUCACCAACCGUUGCAGUUUUUUUAAUGCAGUGCUGUUUUCAGUCUGAAUGCCCACAAAGAAACAGGUUCACUGAAUCUGCAACAUCAGUCUAAAUGAUGCCUUAAUUGUUUUCAAGGUUUGGCGUAGAUUUGGUUUCUAAGUGGGGGGACAUAAAGUAAAAACAUAAUAAUUAAGGAAAUAAGACAGUUUUUUAAAGAAAAUUUAAACUUAAUUAUAAACCAGACGCCAGCAUUUAUUGCAACAAUCUUGAUAUGAUCCAAUAGGGAACCAGCAGAUGGCAGAAUUUGUUUUGCGAUGUGCUGGGCCCCAAUGACAAGGAUUUCUGUUUUGUUUGAAAUUUUGACAUCCAGUUUUUGACACCACCGAAGCAGUCGUUAAGUGAACUCAGCAUUCCAGGGUUUGUGGAUCUAACGGGAAGGUACACCUGUGUAUCAUCAGCAUAAAAAGGAAAAGAAAUGUGCCUAAAGGGAAGCAUGUAUAAAGAAAAUAAAAUUGGUCCCAAAACUGACCCCUGAGGCACACCAUACUUAACGGAAGAAAAUGAAGAGACAUAGUUGUUCACAGAGACACAGAAUCUCCUAUUCGACAGGUAAGAUGAAAACCAUUCUAAAGGUGUACAGGAUGCUGUGAUCGAUCGUGUCUAAGGUCCAGGAGUACAAGGAUUGAGCACAUGCCAUCAUCGGCAGCCAUUAAAAUGUUGUUGGUAACCUUGAGCAGUGUCAGUACUGUGAUACUUCCAGAAACAGUGCAGAGAGAAAGCAAUCAGUUGUGUCAAAAUGGUUAUUGUG